rnacentral:sRNA from 1 species
UCGGCUUCGAGUAGUUAUAUAGACUCCUUCGAGGAUCCCCUCUGGCCCUUUUCCAGAGCUGCAACAAACACCAUCAACAAACCCACUGCCAACGCGGGCAGAAAAUGUGAGGAGCUGAAAUAUCUUCCCCCUGGCACUUGCGAAUACAAAUACAGUGGAAAUAUAAAAGAUAUGGAAAAAACCAUUCAACUUGAAGGGGGUGCUUUCCUGGCGCUGAUGGAUGGCCAAAGUACUCCCGUUCGCAAUCCUUUCAUGGGAUUCUCAUGUGUCUCCCAAGCUGC